GCAAACUUGGUCAUUUAGAGGAAGUAAAAGUCGUAACAAGGUUUCCGUAGGUAUGUAUCAACCACGCUCCGCCCCGCCGAGCCCCGCUAAUUCGACCCAGGUGAACCUGCGGAAGGAUCAUUAACGUGUUUGGCUCCGGCCGUCACGCCCCUUGUGUACCUCUGGUUUCUUUGGCGCUUCGGCGUCAGACUUCAAACCCACACGCGCAACGAGAAUGUCCGAGUCCCUCAAAUGAUUUAAAACUUUCAACAACGGAUCUCUUGGUUCCAGCAUCGAUGAAGAACGCAGC
rnacentral:misc_RNA from 1 species